rnacentral:rRNA from 1 species
CAGGGAUUGCCCCAGUAACGGCGAGUGAAGCGGCAACAGCUCAAAUUUGAAAUCUGGCCCCCGGGCCCGAGUUGUAAUUUGCAGAGGAUGCUUUUGGUGACGCGCCUACCGAGUCCCCUGGAACGGGGCGCCACAGAGGGUGAGAGCCCCGUAUGGUUUGACGCCGAGCCUCUGUAAAGCUCCUUCGACGAGUCGAGUAGUUUGGGAAUGCUGCUCUAAAUGGGAGGUAAAUUUCUUCUAAAGCUAAAUACCGGCCAGAGACCGAUAGCGCACAAGUAGAGUGAUCGAAAGAUGAAAAGCACUUUGAAAAGAGGGUUAAAUAGCACGUGAAAUUGUUGAAAGGGAAGCGCUCGUGACCAGACUUGCGCCGGGCGGAUCAUCCAGCGUUCUCGCUGGUGCACUCCGCCCGGCUCAGGCCAGCAUCGGUUUUCGCCGGGGGACAAAAGCACCGGGAAUGUGGCUCCCCUCGGGGAGUGUUAUAGCCCGGCGCGCAAUACCCCGGCGGGGACCGAGGACCGCGCUUCGGCAAGGAUGCUGGCGUAAUGGUCAUCAGCGACCCGUCUUGAAACACGGACCGAGGAGUCAAGCAUUAGUGCGAGUGUUUGGGUGUAAAACCCGCACGCGUAAUGAAAGUGAACGUAGGUGAGAGCUUCGGCGCAUCAUCGACCGAUCCUGAUGUUUUCGGAUGGAUUUGAGUAGGAGCAUUAACGCUUGGACCCGAAAGAUGGUGAACUAUACUUGAAUAGGGUGAAGCCAGAGGAAACUCUGGUGGAGGCUCGCAGCGGUUCUGACGUGCAAAUCGAUCGUCAAAUUUGAGUAUAGGGGCGAAAGACUAAUCGAACCAUCUAGUAGCUGGUACCGCGA